rnacentral:rRNA from 1 species
UACGUAGGGGGCAAGCGUUGUCCGGAAUCAUUGGGCGUGAAGAGCGUGUAGGCGGCCCGGUAAGUCUGUUGUGAAAGUCCAGGGCUCAACCCUGGAAUGCCGAUGGAUACUGCCGGGCUAGAGUUCGGAAGAGGCGAGUGGAAUUCCUGGUGUAGCGGUGGAAUGCGCAGAUAUCAGGAGGAACACCUAUAGCGAAGGCAGCUCGCUGGGACGACACUGACGCUGAGACGCGAAAGCGUGGGGAGCGAACAGG